rnacentral:rRNA from 1 species
AGUGAACGCUGGCGGUAGGCCUAACACAUGCAAGUCGAACGGCAGCACAGUAAGAGCUUGCUCUUACGGGUGGCGAGUGGCGGACGGGUGAGGAAUACAUCGGAAUCUACUUUUUCGUGGGGGAUAACGUAGGGAAACUUACGCUAAUACCGCAUACGACCUACGGGUGAAAGCAGGGGAUCUUCGGACCUUGCGCGAUUGAAUGAGCCGAUGUCGGAUUAGCUAGUUGGCGGGGUAAAGGCCCACCAAGGCGACGAUCCGUAGCUGGUCUGAGAGGAUGAUCAGCCACACUGGAACUGAGACACGGUCCAGACUACUACGGGAGGCAGCAGUGGGGAAUAGUGGACAAUGGGCGCAAGCCUGAUCCAGCCAUACCGCGUGGGUGAAGAAGGCCUUCGGGUUGGAAAGCCCUUUUGUUGGGAAAGAAAAGCAGCAGGUUAAUACCCCGCUGUUCUGACGGUACCCAAAGAAUAAGCACCGGCUAACUUCGUG